rnacentral:lncRNA from 1 species
CUCCACUAAUAUUUUCGUAUUUAUACAAUAUUUCAAACCUUAGGCGAACUUCCCAGUGGGUCACCCAUCUUAGUUGUGCUCUAAGUCAAGCACGCUUAACCUUGAAGUUCCUUUUGAAUUGUCCCCAGUAGAGAACACUCGUAUAAUUGAUAUAUCUAUUGCCUAUUAAAUCAUUUAAAGGCUAUUUCAAUAUACAAUAUAUAUCAUAUAUUCAUAACAUUUGAAUAUGAGGAGAUAAUAUCCAAGUAAUGUUGUUAAUUACGGACCAGUCUCGUGCCGCCCGUAUUUUUAUGGCAAAUAAAUAUUUAUUUUUUUAUUUUUUUAUUAUUUUUUUUAUUUUUUAUUUUUUUUAUCAAUAUAGUUUAUUAAUCAUAAGUAUUUUAAUUUGAUAGUUUUAAUGUAUUUUUGAAUUCAUUUGCAUAUAUGUCCUUAUUUUUAUGUCGAAACAAUAUAUCUAUUUAUUAAUCAAUAUGUUAUUAAUUUUUUUUAUCAAUCUACGUUAUAGAGUAUAAGUAUUUUCAUUUUGUAAUUAUAAUGUAUUUUGAAUUCAUUUGC